rnacentral:ncRNA from 1 species
UAUUGAGAAAGGCAAACUCGGUGAAAGCCGGGGACGCAAAGCUACGGGUCUUCCACUUAGGGUGAUGAUAGCCGAGCUACCAAU